rnacentral:tRNA from 1 species
GCGGGUGUAGCUCAGGGGUAGAGCUCUUGCUUCCCAAGCAAGGAGUCGCGCGUUCGAAUCGCGUCACCCGCU